rnacentral:lncRNA from 1 species
AGCUGAGGGAGCCGGCUGCGGCCUUCGCCAGCCCAGAAAGGGGCUCCUACAGUGCAGUGGCGGGCUGAAGGGCUGCUCAAGCGCUGCCAAAGUGGGAGCCCAGGCAGAGGAGGCACCCAGAGCGAGCGAGGGCUGCGAGGACUGCCAGCACGCUGUCACCUCUCAGUCAUAUAGAUGGCCAAUCUAUUUGUGAACCAGGUUUGCUGGAGUUUGGAUUUACUACCGAGUCAUAUUUGGAGCAUGCUGGAAUCUUACAACUGAGAUUACCGAGUCAGAAACUAGUUUGACUGUUCUCGUCGGCAUGGUUGGGACAUUAUCCCUGGCAGAAGGCUGGACUGGCAUGGACAUCAUUUGAUGAGUUCGUCUCCUCUUAACAAUCAAAGCCUGUUUUCCAGUGCGAAUAAACUGUUGCCUUAUAUAUUGUUUUCCCAUUUUUAUAGUUGUUUACUGCAAAAAAGAGUCUGGUACAAGUUACUUUGCUAAAACCUUGAUAAAGUUUUAUUCUACGAUUCUUCAAUCAAUGUUUCUGUUUUGUUUAUUCUGUUAUCUCUGUUAUGUCAUACCAUAAUUCUCUCAUUAAU